rnacentral:rRNA from 1 species
UAGGGAAUCUUCCGCAAUGGACGCAAGUCUGACGGAGCAACGCCGCGUGAGUGAAGAAGGAUUUCGGUUCGUAAAACUCUGUUGUUAGAGAAGAACAGCGCAUAGAGUAACUGUUAUGCGUGUGACGGUAUCUAACCAGAAAGCCACGGCUAACUACGUGCCAGCAGCCGCGGUAAUACGUAGGUGGCAAGCGUUGUCCGGAUUUAUUGGGCGUAAAGCGAGCGCAGGCGGUCAAUUAAGUCUGAUGUGAAAGCCCCCGGCUCAACCGGGGAGGGUCAUUGGAAACUGGUUGACUUGAGUGCAGAAGAGGAGAGUGGAAUUCCAUGUGUAGCGGUGAAAUGCGUAGAUAUAUGGGGGAACACCAGUGGCGAAGGCGGCUCUCUGGUCUGUAACUGACGCUGAGGCUCGAAAGCGUGGGGAGCGAACAGG